rnacentral:rRNA from 1 species
GACGAACGCUGGCGGCGUGCUUAACACAUGCAAGUCGAACGGAAAGGCCCUGCUUUCGUGGGGUGCUCGAGUGGCGAACGGGUGCGUAACACGUGAGUAACCUGCUCUAGACUUUGGGAUAACUUCAGGAAACUGGGGCUAAUAUCGGAUAGGAGCCCCUGCUGCAUGGUGGGGGUUGGAAAGUUUCGGCGGUUGGGGAUGGACUCGCGGCUUAUCAGCUUGUUGGUGGGGUAGUGGCUUACCCAGGCAUUGACGGGUAGCCGGCCUGAGAGGGUGACCGGCCACAUUGGGACUGCGGUACGGCCCAGACUCCUACGGGAGGCAGCAGUGGGGAAUAUUGCACAGUGGGCGGAAGCCUGAUGCAGCAACGCCGCGUGCGGGAUGACGGCCUUCGGGUUGUGAACCGCUUUCGCCUGUGACGAAGCGUGAGUGACGGUAAUGGGUAAAGAAGCACCGGCUAACUACGUG